rnacentral:tRNA from 1 species
CGCUGGAUGGUCCGAUUGGUAGGGCACCGGGUUUGGGACCCGGAUGGUGCCGGUUCGAGUCCGGCUCCGGCAA